rnacentral:rRNA from 1 species
AAUUUUGGACAAUGGGGGAAACCCUGAUCCAGCCAGCCCGCGUGUAUGAUGAAGGCCUUCGGGUUGUAAAGCUCUGUCCUAAGGGAAGAAUUUUGACGGUACCUUAGGAGGAAGCCCCGGCUAACUACGUGCCAGCAGCCGCGGUAAUACGUAGGGGGCGAGCGUUAUCCGGAAUUACUGGGUGUAAAGGGUGUGUAGGCGGGAUGGCAAGUCAGAUGUGAAAUGCCGCGGCUUAACUGCGGCACUGCAUCAGAAACUGCUGUUCUUGAGGAUGGGAGAGGUAAGCGGAAUUCCUGGUGUAGCGGUGAAAUGUGUAGAUAUCAGGAGGAACACCGGUGGCGAAGGCGGCUUACUGGACCAUUACUGACGCUGAUACACGAAAGCGUGGGGAGCAAACAGG